rnacentral:misc_RNA from 1 species
GAUGAAGAACGUAGCGAAAUGCGAUACGUAAUGUGAAUUGCAAAUUCAGCGAAUCAUCGAGUCUUUGAACGCACAUUGCGCCCCCGGGUAUUCCGGGGGGCAUGCCUGUCCGAGCGUCAUUGCUGCCCUCAAGCACGGCUUGUGUGUUGGGCCCCGUCCUCCGAUCCCGGGGGACGGGCCCGAAAGGCAGCGGCGGCACCGCGUCCGGUCCUCGAGCGUAUGGGGCUUUGUCACCCGCUCUGUAGGCCCGGCCGGCGCUUGCCGAUCAACCCAAAUUUUUAUCCAGGUUGACCUCGGAUCAGGUAGGGAUACCCGCUGAACUUAAGCAUAUCAAUAAGCGGAGGA